rnacentral:misc_RNA from 1 species
UCCGGUUUGUCACCGGCAGUCUCGCAUGAGUCCCCAACUGAAUGCUGGCAACAUGCGACGGGGGUUGCGCUCGUUGCGGGACUUAACCCAACAUCUCACGACACGAGCUGACGACAGCCAUGCACCACCUGUGAACCUGCCCCGAAGGGAAGCCCUGUUUCCAGGACGGUCAGGCACAUGUCAAGUCCGGGUAAGGUUCUUCGCGUCGCGUCGAAUUAAACCACAUGCUCCGCUGCUUGUGCGGGCCCCCGUCAAUUCCUUUGAGUUUCAUUCUUGCGAACGUACUCCCCAGGUGGGAUACUUAUCACUUUCGCUUAGCCACUCAGAUUGCUCCGAACAGCUAGUAUCCAUCGUUUACGGCGUGGACUAC